GUGUGUGUGUGUGUGUGUGUGUGGGGAAGCGGGGGUGGGUGUCAUCACUUGUUAUUAUUACUAGAGAGCUUGGAGAAGAGCAGAGUAGGUAUAUUUAUUUCAGGGACCAUUGGCCUGCAGAAUCUUCUGUCCAUGGAUAAAACUAAUGGUUCUGAUUAUAAUGCUGACACCAUCCCUUUCUCUUUCUCUCUGCUCAUAUUAUCACUGCACCUCUCUGUUGCUUCUGCUGCUGCAGCUCAGCUGCCUCUGUGGCAGCUCUUGUCUCUGACACUUCUACGGAAACCCAUAAACUAAAGAGAAGAGUGCAUUAAAAAGACUGUAAAAAACAAAAGAGAAACGUUUCUUGUUUUUUAUUUAUUGAAAAAUAUUUUAGAGGAGUUGGUUUCUGAAGCCAAUUCCUGCCUGCACUGGGAAGGUUGUACGGUUGUAGCUUUUACCGCUACUAACUCUUUUACUUUUUCUGUUUCUUUACCGCAGAAACCUGUGUACCCUCCACUCACUAUUUGACCUUCUUCUAUUUGGGAAAUUGAGUAAAUGAGGGUUUCAGGCAAGAAGAUGGGGUUCUCUUGGCUUUUGAUAAAACUGGAACCCUUCUCUUUACCCCCUCUAUUAGUUUCCUUCUUUUUCCCUAAUCGAAAUGUAUAAAAUAUUUUACUUUCUUUCCUUUGUUGCAAAAUUGCUUAUGAAAAAUGUGUUGGUUUUGCUUGUCUUCCUUUAAUCAAUGUUACUUUACAUAAUCCAUUUUUAUUAGUUGACUAAACCACUGACACUAACUUAUUUCCUCCUUAAUCAUUCAUUCCCUUGCUUAACCACAAUUGCGGGGUGCUAGACAGCUACUUCACCAGGACAAGAUCUCUCACUUGGUUUAGUGAAUCCCUGAUGCAUUGUCAGAACAUUUCAGGUAACAUUAUGAUUCUGAAUUGACAGACCAGCUCCUUAAUUGUAAGCAGCUUUCCUAAUACAUAUAAAGGCUAUAGAUCCUAGAUUUUAGACCUGUGAAAGCACGAAUUUGAUGGGUUAAGCACAGAAUCUUAUCAUCUAUUUUUUAGCAAGCAUAAACCCCCACCCAGAGUAGCAGUGGUUGCAGAUGCCAAAUAUUGUUUGAAUUCUUAGGACUAUUCUUCAUUGUUUUUCAGAAGCAGCUACAACAGAGAAAGAAUGUUUAAUACUUCUUAUUAGUGGAUGGAGGAAGCAAAGUUAAUGAGCUGACGAUGUAUCAAGACAGUUGAGUUGGUGAAUGUUAUAAUAAAAAUCUCUUAUCACCCUGCAAAGGGAGAACUCUUUUGGUUACCCAAAAGUAAACCACUUUUUCAGUUGGUAGAUAUUAGUCCAAAUGAUGUUAAUUGUUAACUUCACCUUGCAAGCAAGGAUUUUUUGUAGGAGGGUAUUUGAGUAAAAUAGGGAUGGAAGAACGGGGCAUUGAUUUAGUUUGGUUGCAUUUAUUAAUUCCCUGGAACCAUUCUUGUAAGUAAGUUUGGCAGUGGCAGGAGGUGUACAAAGUAAUGCACUACUCUUUAGCACUGUUGUUAUCCCCUGGCAGACUCCAACACAUGCAAACAAUACUUUUUUGGUACAAAAGCCCACUGAAUCAGAACAUCUCCCCAGGUGCAUUUCUUGAAUAAAU
rnacentral:misc_RNA from 1 species